UACGUAGGUGGCAAGCGUUACUCGGAUUUACUAGGCGUAAAGCGUGUGUAGGUGGUUGGAUAAGUCUGUGGUGAAAUCUCUCGGCUCAACCGGGAGGGGUUCACAGAAACUAUCCGGCUUGAGUGUGGUAGGGGAAGACGGAAUUCCUGGUGUAGCGGUGAAAUGCGUAGAUAUCAGGAGGAACACCGAUGGCGAAAGCGGUCUUCUGGGCCAAUACUGACACUGAAACACGAAAGCUAGGGGAG
rnacentral:rRNA from 1 species